UACGGGGGGGGCAAGCGUUGUUCGGAAUUACUGGGCGUAAAGGCUCGUAGGUGGCCAACUAAGUCAGACGUGAAAUCCCUCAGCUUAACUGGGGAACUGCGUCUGAUACUGGAUGGCUUGAGUUUGGGAGAGGGAUGCGGAAUUCCAGGUGUAGCGGUGGAAAUGCGUAGAUAUCUGGAGGAACACCGGUGGCGAAGGCGGCAUCCUGGACCAACACUGACACUGAGGAGCGGAAAGCCAAGGGGAGCAAACGGG
rnacentral:rRNA from 1 species